rnacentral:lncRNA from 1 species
AUAUAUAGGCACCGUUAAUACAGGACGAUAAAUUGUGUCUGUCUCGUAUUUGUAUAGAACUGAAUGUCCAGGGCAAUUUAGUGCAAAUUUAUUAACGUAAAAACUGAAUUAAUACUAAACAUUUACAAGACGAGGUUAUUAAACUACGUAUGCAUACUUCAACUCUCACCUCCAUAGAGUCCUGUACACACCCACUGUCCCGGCAUUUUAGCUGUGUGAUUGGACCAGAGGCGCGUCACUCACGUCAUUUGAUACAAGCCCGGCGCUGAUUGGACAACAGCGUCGCCCCUCCCGCCCAGCUCAAGAGAGCCGGUGCUGAUUGGGCGAGUGUCGCGGACAGGCUUCAGGUUCCGCGUUAUCCGCGCUGAUUGGUUCCGCGAUCACUGGGCGAGAGCCACGGAAAGUCGUCGGGUUCCGCGAUGUCCGCGAAGUCCGCGCUGAUUGGGCGAGACUGCUAAAGCCCCUGUACUGAUUGGUUAACAGCUCCGCCGUGUACGCCUAUGUUGUGACGUCAUAUUACCGUGACGAUGCUGCUAGUGCCCUGGUGCCUGUUGUGCGGUCUUGAGAUGCUGGUUCUUCUGAUGCUGUAGAGAAAAAAAAGAAAAGAAUUAGACCCUGUCAGCCAAACCCAUCUUGUCAACGUCUACUGAUGCGAGAGACCAGCUGGAUAAAAAAAUCUUUUAGAAAUGUCUCCCCUGGCUGUUGUCCCUGCUGCCCGGACAGGACCCACCCCGCACUGACCAGACUGCUGGCGCUGGAGAGGACAUCGUCACCCUGGACUCAGUCAUCCAGUGCUCUGCUCCUGCCUGGAAACUGUCCUGUGUUCGUGAUGCACAGCCGUACCCAGUUCUCACCUCAGGGAAACCAGGUCUCUGAUUCAGGCCUGCAGGGUCUCUCUCUGUCUCUGGGUGUUCUUGUGCAGCAGUCUGAGCUCUGACUCAGUGAUGGACAGGUGUCGUCCCCACUAUAGUAGAGACACUAGAGAAGAGUGUCCCGCUCUCAGCCUGUCCAGACCCCUUCAGCACAGCCUCCCACUGACACUCAUUCACACUGUGGAAGUGUUUCUGUAAGUCUAAUUUUAUUUUUUCAAUUAUAAUGAUUUAUUAUGUUGGAAAUGAAGCUGUGCUCUCUAAGCCUCUGUAGAUGUGUUUUGCAAUUUACUCAAGACUGUCAGGCCUGGGGGCUGGGGGGCCGAUUCUCAUCAGCAGGGAAAGAGCCCAUCAGCCCCAGAGACACAGGAGCCCCUGAGACAGAACAGAGUCUAAGAGCAACAACCUCUACUGCUGUGUGAACUGAGUGAUGAAAAUCAAAUCCAGAAUGAUCAGUGCCACUAUCCAGACUUGUCUGUCAUUAUUCACUUCUCAUUUGUUUCUAUAGUUUUUCUCUGACCAGCUGUCCACAGGUCCUGCACUGACCAGACAGCAGGUCAGUCAGUAUGUCAGCUGGAGCCUCAGUGCACGCUGAGACUACAGGUCACUAUUCAGCACCGAAGAAAAGGCAGCAAUUCAACUGAAAGAUGCAGUUUAGGUUCUGUGUUCCACGAGGCUGGUUAUGAACAUUAGUAAUAUCUCAACUCUCCUUCCAGUCUGGUAACCUGAAUCCUGUGUGUGAGGAGGCUGGACCCUGCUGGUCCCCUGUGUGUGAGGAGAGUUUCCAUGUCCCCCUGUGACCUGAAACACUGCGCAGGCUGUAGAGCUCCACUCCAGCUCUGUGCAAGGGGCUGAGCCCUGUCUUUCAUCUGAACCUGGCUGGACAGACGCGUCCCACACUGGUGCUGGACACAGCUCUGUGAAACUCCCUGG